rnacentral:rRNA from 1 species
UUGAACGCUGGCGGCAUGCUUUACACAUGCAAGUCGCACGGCAGCGCGGGCUUCGGCCUGGCGGCGAGUGGCGAACGGGUGAGUAAUACAUCGGAACGUGCCCAGUAGUGGGGGAUAGCUCGGCGAAAGCCGGAUUAAUACCGCAUACGACCUGAGGGUGAAAGCGGGGGAUCUUCGGACCUCGCGCUAUUGGAGCGGCCGAUGGCAGAUUAGCUAGUUGGUGGGGUAAAGGCCUACCAAGGCGACGAUCUGUAGCUGGUCUGAGAGGACGACCAGCCACACUGGGACUGAGACACGGCCCAGACUCCUACGGGAGGCAGCAGUGGGGAAUUUUGGACAAAGGGCGAAAGCCUGAUCCAGCAAUGCCGCGUGUGUGAUGAAGGCCUUCGGGUUGUAAAGCACUUUUGGCGGGAACGAAAAGGACUGUGCCAAUACCACGGUUCGAUGACGGUACCCGCAGAAUAAGCACCGGCUAACUACGUG